rnacentral:rRNA from 1 species
UACGUAGGGUGCAAGCGUUGUCCGGAAUUACUGGGCGUAAAGAGUUCGUAGGCGGUUUGUCGCGUCGUUUGUGAAAACCAGCAGCUCAACUGCUGGCUUGCAGGCGAUACGGGCAGACUUGAGUACUGCAGGGGAGACUGGAAUUCCUGGUGUAGCGGUGAAAUGCGCAGAUAUCAGGAGGAACACCGGUUGCGAAGGCGGGUCUCUGGGCAGUAACUGACGCUGAGGAACGAAAGCGUGGGUAGCGAACAGG